AGCGGAGCGGAGUGGGGCGGGCGGAGCGGAACGGAACGGGGGGCCCGGCCGGUUCAGCCCCGCAGGCCCGGUCCGGGGUUGGACUGAGCGGCGGGCGGCUGCGGGGAGCGGCGGGCAGGGCGGCCCGGCGCGGCCGGGUGGGGGCACGGGCACCGGCACACACAGACGCUUCCCUGCGCUGAGCGGUACCCGCGGCUGAUGGGGUGAUGGGGCUACAGCAAAUGUAGCGGGGGAGCAAGGUGCUUACACUGUUUGUGGCCUCUCUGUAGGGAGCCGGCGGUGCCCGGGUACGCAAAGCCAACCGGGCAGCGGCACGCUUGCUUUGCUCCCUCCGGUGGCUCCGUGGGCUUGGUGGGCAGCGAUAGUCCAGCCAAACCUGCCCGGAGCCGGGCCCCUGCUGCUGCGUGCACUGCAACAGACGCUCCCCGCUGGCUCCUGUGGCCUCUCCUAGGAAGCGCUGCUGUCCUCUGAGGACUCACCUGGUACUGCAGAAGCUGAUGGAGCUGUGGAUGCUUCUCUUCCCACUCCUUGCCAAACUCUUAUGAUCAGACAACAGAUGGAGACAUCAAAUGGUUUAAGUUCACUUGCUGGUCAAACCACAGCAUGGGAGGACUUCCUUCAAGCUCCUAACCUGCUGGCCAGUGCCAAAGUGCCUCCCUGCAGCUGGGGUGGAAGAGCUGGCGGGAAGCUUCAGUGCUGUACUUCGUAUCACCGGGGCAGUGGAGAAAAGGUCCCCUUGCCUACAAGUGAUUGAUACACCAGCUAUCUCUGCUGGCUGCAGAGCGAGGGUUAAAUUAAGAUUAUGCCAUUGGUGGAAGAUAGAUGCUAUCUCUCAUCUUACGAUCAUGUCACAGAACAGCUGGCAACUCCGAGCCCUCUGAUCCGGGAUGCUAUGGUGGGACCCGGAGGAGUAGAUCUCCCCAAAUGUGAAUGAUUCAGCCAUGAAAAUCUGCAGUACGCAGAACCUCUUAGAGCCUCAGGUUCCUGCCUCUGAUUGAGAAGUCUAAUGGUCAUAGUUGGUAUUGCUGAAAGAGUAAGGGCCUAAUCUAGCUAGUACGAUAAAAACACAUAUAACCGUUAUACAUGAAUCUGUAACUUUCUGCUUUUCAAAGAAUAUGUUGCUUCGGGGCAUCUGUAACUGUGAUACCGAAGGGUGGUGGUUCUGGACCAUGUCAUUUACACUAAGCUGCAUUAGUUCCUUAGUUACAUGGUUAAAUAUUUUACUGGACGUUUAAAUUAUAUUUAUGGAUGUAAGCUGGUACAGCCAGAAAACCCUGAAGUAAAUUAAAGGGGGAGUUAAGAAAUGUCACGGGAAUAGCUAUGAGACGGUCUUAUGGGCAGUGCUAGCUGGCACUGUUCAUUACUUAUUUAUACCUUUUAUCCAAAGGAUGUAUAACCAUGUAAUUUUUUUAAUAUAAAAAUGAUUAAUAUACAUACAUGGGAAUGAAUGCACUGGGAAGUGAAAUGUGCAACAUGGUAACGUGAGCUGAAUGCUGCAUUGUUGUAUAGUAAUUCACAGGAUGCAAAUCUCUGUGUUCAAUGAAAAUGAAAGAGGGCAUCUUGCACAUGAUGAGUGUCAAUACACCAAAUAGAAACUAAUUAUUAAUAAUAAGAUUUUUUUUAAUGACUGCUUGUUUAUAGUCUCUUCAGUAUGUGACUUCUUAUAUUACAGAAAUAAACGGCUCCUGCCAGGAAUGUCUGUUAUGUUUGCAGGGGUAGUGUCUAGCAGUAGACAGAUGCUAUCAAUAAUGACUAAUUAAUAACUGUGUAGUAAAUAGAUUAAGACUUUUCUU